GACGAACGCUGGCGGCGCGUCUAACGCAUGCAAGUCGAACGAGCGAGAGAGAGCUUGCUUUCUCAAGCGAGUGGCGAACGGGUGAGUAACGCGUGAGGAACCUGCCUCAAAGAGGGGGACAACAGUUGGAAACGACUGCUAAUACCGCAUAAGCCCACAGCUCGGCAUCGAGCAGAGGGAAAAGGAGUGAUCCGCUUUGAGAUGGCCUCGCGUCCGAUUAGCUGGUUGGUGAGGUAACGGCCCACCAAGGCAACGAUCGGUAGCCGGACUGAGAGGUUGAACGGCCACAUUGGGACUGAGACACGGCCCAGACUCCUACGGGAGGCAGCAGUGGGGAAUAUUGCACAAUGGGGGAAACCCUGAUGCAGCGACGCCGCGUGGAGGAAGAAGGUCUUCGGAUUGUAAACUCCUGUUGUUGAGGAAGAUAAUGACGGUACUCAACAAGGAAGUGACGGCUAACUACGUGCCAGCAGCCGCGGUAAAACGUAGGUCACAAGCGUUGUCCGGAAUUACUGGGUGUAAAGGGAGCGCAGGCGGGAAAGCAAGUUGGAAGUGAAAUCCAUGGGCUCAACCCAUGAACUGCUUUCAAAACUGUUUUUCUUGAGUAGUGCAGAGGUAGGCGGAAUUCCCGGUGUAGCGGUGGAAUGCGUAGAUAUCGGGAGGAACACCAGUGGCGAAGGCGGCCUACUGGGCACCAACUGACGCUGAGGCUCGAAAGUGUGGGUAGCAAACAGG
rnacentral:rRNA from 1 species